rnacentral:rRNA from 1 species
UAGUCGAUGGGAAACGGGUUAAUAUUCCCGUACUUCUUACAAUUGCGAUGGGGGGACGGAGAAGGCUAGGUGGGCCUGGCGACGGUUGUCCAGGUUCAAGUGUGUAGGCUUAAGAGUUAGGUAAAUCCGGCUCUUUUUAAGGCUGAGACACGACGUCGAGCACCUACGGGUGUGAAGUCAUUGAUGCCAUGCUUCCAGGAAAAGCCUCUAAGCU